rnacentral:misc_RNA from 1 species
UUCACGAUUCCUCCGCGUCCAACUUUUCCACGGCCGCUCGCACCAUCGUCCGCCCAUCUCGAUUUGGCUCGGGCUCUCCUCCCCCCCAAUCCCCAAUUCCCCAUUGUCUUCGUCCGUCCAGCACCAGCUUUCCUCCGCACCCCGAUCCGGACAGCCUCGCCGGAACCCUAACCCUAGCGCGCCAUGGCGGGAUACGCCCAGCCCGCAUCCAGGGCCGUCGUGCUCCGCCUGGACGACCUGGCGCUGCCCCCGCGGCACCUCACCGUCCCCCCCCACCUCCCCGUCUCCGACCUCCUCCGCUCCAUCCCGCUCCCCUCGCCCUCCUGCUACUACCUCACCGCCGACGGGCGCCCGCUGCCGGCCUCCUCCCCGGUGGCGGCGCUCCCGCCGUCGGCCUCCGUCCAGCUCCGCCUCCGCGCGCUCCGGGGCGGCGGCGGCGACGGCGGCGCCACGGGCGCCGAGUCCCGCGACUGCUACCUCUCCAUGUACCUCGCCAAGAAGCCCGACAAGGCGGACCCCAACGAGGCGCGCCUCUCGCGCUUCACCUGCUGCGCGCUCUCCGGGGAGCCCCUCGCCGCGCCCGCCGUCGCCGACCGCCUCGGGAACCUCUACAACAAGGAGCCGCUCGUUGAGGCGCUGCUCCACAAGCGCCUGCCCAGGGCGCUGUCCCACAUCCGGGGCCUGCGCGACAUGGUCCCCAUCCACCUGCACCCCAGGCCGGGCGCCGACGCCGCCGGGGACGAGGUCCGGUUCCAGUGCCCCGUCACCGGCCUCGAGUUCAACGGCAAGUACCAGUUCCUCGCGCUCCGUGGGUGCGGCCACGUGCUCAGCGUCAAGGCGCUCAAGGAGGUCAAGACGUCCGCGUGCUUGGUCUGCCACGAGGAGUUCGGCGAGGCCGACAAGAUGCCCAUCAACGGGACUGAGGAGGAGGUGGCCGAGCUCAGGAAGAGGAUGGAGGAGGAGAGGGGGAAGGCGAAGGAGAGGAAGGACAAGAAGGUUCUCAGUGGGAAUAAGCAUGCUGCUACUGUCGUGGCGCCGGUGGUGGCGGCGGCCGGAGCUGAGAAUGGGAAGAAGGGCGAGGCUGCUUCAGCAAAGCGCUUCAAGGCUGCGGACCAUGCGCCAGCCCAUGCCAAUAAGGAAGUGUAUGCGUCCAUAUUCACAUCGUCCAGGAAGUCGGAUUUCAAGGAGACAUACUCGUGCCGCUCGCUUCCGCUGGGAAGAAAUUGAUCUCAUGCCAAGAGCGAUUGCAUUGCAUGGAGGUGGUGAUCCUAUUGUGCUGAUUUGCCUCGCUCGUGUCACCAACUUCAAUGUUGGUUCCUUUAUCUGGUGGUGUUAUUUAUGUUUGAUUGGUGACCCUGAGCGUAUUUUGGCUGUUAGAGCAGCGUUAAAUUCAACGUAGCAACGAUGGGUGGAAUCUGCGAUAGUUUGGUCUUGUGUAGAGUUUGAAUUAAAAGUUGUUACUUGGCUGAUUGUUCCAAAAAAUAAUUGACAAACGCCAUGGUCUUCAUUGUUGUUGUUGCCACAGUACAGUUAAUCCAAGUCCAUGGAAUUCAACGGUGAGGAUGUAUGGACAGUUGCGGUUUUGUGGAUGUCAACAUUG